AUUGAAAAACCAGUUUCCAUACGAUCACUGAAGUUAAGCAAUGUUGAGCCUGAUCAGUACCUUGGUGGGUGACUAUAUGGAAAUACCAUGUGCUGUAAG